rnacentral:rRNA from 1 species
AGCGAACGCUGGCGGCAGGCUUAACACAUGCAAGUCGAACGGGCGUAGCAAUACGUCAGUGGCAGACGGGUGAGUAACGCGUGGGAACGUACCUUUUGGUUCGGAACAACCCAGGGAAACUUGGGCUAAUACCGGAUAAGCCCUUACGGGGAAAGAUUUAUCGCCGAAAGAUCGGCCCGCGUCUGAUUAGCUAGUUGGUGAGGUAACGGCUCACCAAGGCGACGAUCAGUAGCUGGUCUGAGAGGAUGAUCAGCCACAUUGGGACUGAGACACGGCCCAAACUCCUACGGGAGGCAGCAGUGGGGAAUAUUGGACAAUGGGCGCAAGCCUGAUCCAGCCAUGCCGCGUGAGUGAUGAAGGCCCUAGGGUUGUAAAGCUCUUUUGUGCGGGAAGAUAAUGACUGUACCGGGAGAAUAAGCCCCGGCUAACUUCGUGCCAGCCGCCGCCGU